rnacentral:misc_RNA from 1 species
AAAAGUCGUAACAAGGUCUCCGUUGGUGAACCAGCGGAGGGAUCAUUACAGAGUCUCGUACUCCCUAAACCACUGUGAACCUACCACUGUUGCUUCGGCGUGAUGCCGCUCGGCGGGCCCCCGGGCCCCCCGCGCGGCGGAUCGUCGGGGACCCCAAACCACUGUAUUUCAGAAUCUACUCGGAGACAGCGCAAGCAAUCAAAACUUUCAGCAACGGAUCUCUUGGCUCUG